rnacentral:lncRNA from 1 species
CUUCUCAAAGUUCGCCUUCCUCCGGCUGUACUCCAUGAUCCCCUUCACGUGGAGAUUCUGAAAGUAGGUGGCCUCCGCGGUGGCUUCGGAAUGACUCUCCCUCAAUCUGCGAAGCUCGUCUUCCGUCUUCUUUGACCUUUUUGUUAAAUGGAGGACUUCCUUCUUCGAUCGCUGGAUUGUAGACUUCAGUGGAAUCCCCUGAGGCAAGGGAAGCGCUUCGGCGGGACGCUGCCAUCGGGAGGUCAAUGCGUUAAAAUGCAGCUCAUUACAAAGAAGUAGAAGAAAGAAAGAAAGAAAAAGAAGAGAAGAAAAGUCCCCC